AUUGAACGCUGGCGGCAGGCCUAACACAUGCAAGUCGAGCGGAUGAAGGGAGCUUGCUCCUGGAUUCAGCGGCGGACGGGUGAGUAAUGCCUAGGAAUCUGCCUGGUAGUGGGGGAUAACGUCCGGAAACGGGCGCUAAUACCGCAUACGUCCUGAGGGAGAAAGUGGGGGAUCUUCGGACCUCACGCUAUCAGAUGAGCCUAGGUCGGAUUAGCUAGUUGGUGGGGUAAAGGCCUACCAAGGCGAGGAUCCGUAACUGGUCUGAGAGGAUGAUCAGUCCACAUGGAACGUGAGACACGUCCAGGACACCAAGGGAGGGCAGAGGGGGGAACUUUGGGCAAAGGGGGGAAACCUUGCUCAGGCCGGGCGGGGUGUGUGAAGAAGGUCUGCGUAUUGUAAGGCAUUUUAAGUGGGGGGAAAGGGAAUAAGGUUAAAACUUGGCUGUUUGACGGUAACCAACAAAAAAGGCACGGCUAACUUCGUG
rnacentral:rRNA from 1 species